UGACGUUCAGGACCGCGAAAGGUUAGGGUGGGCGAACGGGGAUUAGAGACCCCCGGUAGUCCUAGCUGUAAACGAUGUGAACUUGGCGUCCGGUGGGGAUUAAAUCCCAUCCGGUGUCGAAGCUAACGCGAUAAAGUUCCACCCGCCUGAGGACUACGGCCGCAAGGUUAAAACUCCAAAGGAAUUGACGGGGACCCGCACAAGCAGCGGAGCGUGUGGUUUAAUUCGUUGCUACACGAAGAACCUUACCUGGGUUUGACAUAUAGGUUGUAGGGAACUGAAAUGGGACCGACCCUUCGGGGAGCCUAUACAGGUGUUGCAUGGCUGUCGUCAGCUCGUGUCGUGAGAUGUUCGGUUAAGUCCGCUAACGAGCGCAACCCUCGCCGUAUGUUAUACGUGUCCAUACGGGACUGCCGGUAAAAAGCCGGAGGAAGGUGGGGAUGAUGUCAAGUCAGCAUGACCUUUAUAUCCAGGGCUACCACACACGCUAACAAUGGUCUGUACAAUGGGUAGCCAAGCCG
rnacentral:rRNA from 1 species